rnacentral:rRNA from 1 species
UACGGGGGGGGCAAGCGUUUGUUCGGAAUUACUGGGCGUAAAGGGCUCGUAGGCGGCCAACUAAGUCGGACGUGAAAUCCCCAGGCUCAACCUGGGAACUGCGUCUGAUACUGGAUGGCUUGAAUCCGGGAGAGGGAUGCAGAAUUCCAGGUGUAGCGGUGAAAUGCGUAGAUAUCUGGAGGAAUACCGGUGGCGAAGGCGGGUCUCUGGGCCGAUACUGACGCUGAGGAGCGAAAGCGUGGGGAGCGAACAGG